ACUCCUACGGGAGGCAGCAGUGGGGAAUAUUGCACAAUGGGCGCAAGCCUGAUGCAGCCAUGCCGCGUGUGUGAAGAAGGCCUCGGUUGUAAAGCACUUUCAGUCGUGAGGAAGGUAGUGUAGUUAAUAGCUGCAUUAUUUGUACGUUAGCGACAGAAGAAGCACCGGCUAACUCCGUGCCAGCAGCCGCGGUAAUACGGAGGGUGCGAGCGUUAAUCGGAAUUACUGGGCGUAAAGCGCAUGCAGGUGGUUUGUUAAGUCAGAUGUGAAAGCCCGGGGCUCAACCUCGGAAUAGCAUUUGAAACUGGCAGACUAGAGUACUGUAGAGGGGGUAGAAUUUCAGGUGUAGCGGUGAAAUGCGUAGAGAUCUGAAGGAAUACCGGUGGCGAAGGCGGCCCCCUGGACAGAUACUGACACUCAGAUGCGAAAGCUGGGGAGCAAACAGGAUUAGAUACCCUGGUAGCACAGAG
rnacentral:rRNA from 1 species